CGGUGAAGCCCAGCUUGCUGGGUGGAUCAGUGGCGAACGGGUGAGUAACACGUGAGUAACCUGCCCCUGACUCUGGGAUAAGCCUUGGAAACGAGGUCUAAUACCGGAUACGUGACGCUCAGGCAUCUGAUGCGUCUGGAAAGAUUUAUCGGUCAGGGAUGGACUCGCGGCCUAUCAGCUUGUUGGUGGGGUAACGGCCCACCAAGGCGACGACGGGUAGCCGGCCUGAGAGGGCGACCGGCCACACUGGGACUGAGACACGGCCCAGACUCCUACGGGAGGCAGCAGUGGGGAAUAUUGCACAAUGGGCGCAAGCCUGAUGCAGCGACGCCGCGUGAGGGAUGAAGGCCUUCGGGUUGUAAACCUCUUUCAGCAGGGAAGAAGCGCAAGUGACGGUACCUGCAGAAGAAGCGCCGGCUAACUACGUGCCAGCAGCCGCGGUAAUACGUAGGGCGCAAGCGUUGUCCGGAAUUAUUGGGCGUAAAGAGCUCGUAGGCGGUCUGUCGCGUCUGCUGUGAAAACUCGAGGCUCAACCUCGGGCUUGCAGUGGGUACGGGCAGACUAGAGUGCGGUAGGGGAGACUGGAAUUCCUGGUGUAGCGGUGGAAUGCGCAGAUAUCAGGAGGAACACCGAUGGCGAAGGCAGGUCUCUGGGCCGCAACUGACGCUGAGGAGCGAAAGCAUGGGGAGCGAACAGGAUUAGAUACCCUGGUAGUCCAUGCCGUAAACGUUGGGCACUAGGUGUGGGGCUCAUUCCACGAGUUCCGUGCCGCAGCAAACGCAUUAAGUGCCCCGCCUGGGGAGUAC
rnacentral:rRNA from 1 species